UUUAUAAUAGUUAUUUAUUAUAAUAAUGUUUGUAUAUUUUUUAUUAAUUAAUAAAAUUAAUUUUAAAUAUAAAAUUUUUAGUAUUUUAUAAAGAAAAAAUAUUAUUAAUAAUAGUUUAUUAGUAUAGAAAAAGAAAUUUUAAAUAAUUUGAAAAAUUUUUAAAAUAAUAGAAUAAUUAAUUUUUAGUGCCUUGUGUGUCAGGAUAAAUUAAUUAAUAAAUAUAAAAAAUAUUUAUUUCGAAUUUAAAAGAUUUAAUAUUUUAUUUUAUUUAUUGUUGAAAAAAUAUUAAUUUAUAAAUUAUUAGAAAUGAGAUGUUAUUCGUUUUUAAAAAUAUCUAAUUUUUUUAGAAAUAAAUUUAAUUUAUUUAUAAUUUAUUAAUUAUUUUAUUUUAUAAAUAAUUAAUUAAUUUAUAAAAAUAUUUCAAGGGAUGAGCUUUGAAUUAAAAUUUAAUAAUUUUAAAAAAGUAAUAAAAAAAAGUAAGCUUAAAAAUAGCAAUUUUUAAUGAUUAUGUUAUAAUUUAUUUUUAAAAAAUUAUUAUUUAUUUUAAAAAUUUUAUUUUUUAUAAAAAAAAUUUUUUUAAUAUUAAAAAAGAGGUUAUAAUGAUUUAAUUAGUAAAAUUUUUAUUUAUUAAAUAAGUUUUAAGUUUAAAAAAUUUAUAAAUAAAUUCGACAAAUUUUUAUAUUCACCUGUUUAUCAAAAACAUCUCUUUUAGGUUUUUUUAAAAGUUUAACCUGCCCACUGAAAAUUUUUAAAGGGCCGCGGUAUUUUGACCGUGCAAAGGUAGCAUAAUCAUUAGUUUUUUAAUUGAAGGCUGGUAUGAAUGGUUGAAUGAAAUAUAUGUUGUAUCUAUUAAUUUAAAAUUUUAAUUUUAUUUUUUAGUUAAAAAGCUAAAAUUUUAUUUAAAGACGAGAAGACCCUAUAAAGCUUUAUAUUUAUAUUUUAUAAUUUAUGAAUAAUUUUUUUUAUUUUAAGUAUUUUAAAUAUUGUAUUGGGGUGAUAUUAAAAUUUAUAAAACUUUUAAAAUUAUUUUAUUAAUUAUAUUUAUUUUUCUAAUGAUCCAUUAUUAAUGAUUAAAAAUUUAAGUUACUUUAGGGAUAACAGCGUAAUUUUUUUAGAGAGUUCUUAUCGAUAAAAAAGAUUGCGACCUCGAUGUUGGACUAAGAAUUAUUUUAGGUGUAGAAGUUUAAAUUUUAAGUCUGUUCGACUUAUAAAUUCUUACGUGAUCUGAGUUCAAACCGGUGUAAGCCAGGUUGGUUUCUAUCUUAAAUUAAAGAUUAUAUUUUAGUACGAAAGGACCGAGUAUAAAAAUAUUUAUUUAUAAUUUAGAAUAAUAUUAAAUUAUUUAUAUAAUUUUAUGUUAAUUAAAAAAUAUG
rnacentral:rRNA from 1 species